GACGAACGCUGGCGGCGUGCUUAACACAUGCAAGUCGAACGGAAAGGCCCUGCUUUUGUGGGGUGCUCGAGUGGCGAACGGGUGAGUAACACGUGAGUAACCUGCCCUUGACUUUGGGAUAACUUCAGGAAACUGGGGCUAAUACCGGAUAGGAGCUCCUGCUGCAUGGUGGGGGUUGGAAAGUUUCGGCGGUUGGGGAUGGACUCGCGGCUUAUCAGCUUGUUGGUGGGGUAGUGGCUUACCAAGGCUUUGACGGGUAGCCGGCCUGAGAGGGUGACCGGCCAACAUGGGAACUAGAUACGGGCCAGAAUUCUAAGGGGGGGAAGAGGGGGGAAUAAUGGCACAUGGGCGGAAGGCCGAUGGCGGAAAGCCGCGUGGGGGAAGAAGGGCCUUCGGUUGUAAAACGGCUUUCGCCGUGAAGAAGGGUGAGGGAAGGGUAUGGGUAAAGGAAGCACCGCCAAACAAGUG
rnacentral:rRNA from 1 species